rnacentral:rRNA from 1 species
AUUGAACGCUGGCGGCAGGCCUAACACAUGCAAGUCGAACGGUAACAGGAAGCAGCUUGCUGCUUUGCUGACGAGUGGCGGACGGGUGAGUAAUGUCUGGGAAACUGCCUGAUGGAGGGGGAUAACUACUGGAAACGGUAGCUAAUACCGCAUAACGUCGCAAGACCAAAGAGGGGGACCUUCGGGCCUCUUGCCAUCGGAUGUGCCCAGAUGGGAUUAGCUAGUAGGUGGGGUAACGGCUCACCUAGGCGACGAUCCCUAGCUGGUCUGAGAGGAUGACCAGCCACACUGGAACUGAGACACGGUCCAGACUCCUACGGGAGGCAGCAGUGGGGAAUAUUGCACAAUGGGCGCAAGCCUGAUGCAGCCGUGCCGCGUGUAUGAAGAAGGCCUUCGGGUUGUAAAGUACUUUCAGCGGGGAGGAAGGGAGUAAAGUUAAUACCUUUGCUCAUUGACGUUACCCGCAGAAGAAGCACCGGCUAACUCCGUG